GAGACACCCCUAUGGAGCAGGGCUUGCUUCAGUGGGGCUUUGGUGUUCAGUGGGGCUUUGGUGUUCACUGAGUCUGCCCCUUGAGUGUGUCACU
rnacentral:pre_miRNA from 1 species